rnacentral:ribozyme from 1 species
GUUCUUUUGAUGUUCUGAAACCGGCUUCGGAAAUCCAACUCGGCUGGGCCUGUGCCCAGAUUCUUGCUUGCAACUCUUCCACAAACACGUCCAAGGCAUUCAGCG